CGAGCCACUCGACGCUGCGCGCUGGUGCUGAUGGUGGCGAUGUAGUUCUCUGCGGCGUGGACCGUGCCAUCUCCCCCUCCUUGAAUGGAGGAGGGAGGGGGGGGGGGUAAGAGGAUGUGAUUUUAAGAAAGGGAGAAAAGACCGUUGGGACGUCACUACAUGCGCCGCUCGUGGAUGCUCUCAUCUGGGACGCCGGCCGAGGGACCACCGUAUCCUCGACUACAAAAGCAUCAUGGUUGAAGUUGGAUUGAGUAGGCGCCUCUUCUUCACAGAGGUGCACAGGAGGCUUCGUAGCAUGCGCGUGUGUGUUCAGGCCCGAGGGGUUGUCUGUUAUCUUUGGUUAUCUAGCUGUAUGAGUGACGUACAUUCUUCAUAAAGCUAGAUAACCGAAAGUAACAAGAAUCCCAUUACAUGCCUGCACCGAUGACGAAAAAUCAACAAAAGCACACGCAACACGAUAUGAUGACAGUGGGAAAAAAAAAAAAAAAAAAAAAGGUAGGAUAGUGUGUGACAAAAGGGUGUGCGACAUGCUAAUCACUGUUGGAAUGCUCAUUAUGUUUAUUUAUUUAUUCUUUGUGUGUGUGUGUGUGUGUGUGUCUAUAUACUGUACACGCAAUUGUUUGAAUGACGCACAACUUUUGCAUGGUAGUGAAUUCAUAAUUUUGGUGCAAUUUUUCACAUUUUAAGGAAAGCUACAAAAUCAUUUCCCAGAGGGCCUUGAUAAAUUUAGGGAAAAUUAAAAUAUUUUUCUAUUGUUUGCCAAAUAGCUAAAUUGCCCAAGUCCUUUUUUUUUAAAGAUUUUCAUAAAAAAGAAAAGAACACAACAAAUUUUACACUUUAAAAAUCUGUUGGGCCUUAUCAGGUGUUUAUACACUAGUAAUUAAUGACUUUUAACACGUAAUAAAUUGCUACACAAGAGCUGUAAAUUGUGGCAGUAUUGCUUGAAAUUGCCAAAUAGUGAUCUGACUCUUGUACCGCAAGUCAUUUACAAAAGUUUAUCACACAUUUGUAGCAGAUUUCUUAACCCUUUAAUACACUAGCAAUUAUUUUAAACACAAAAUUGUUACAUGAACAAGAGCCGUAAAAUUGCAACAUUAUAAAACAUUUAUGAACGCAUUCUAUUUUUAGAUUCAUCUCACAAAAUCCCACCCGUGACAUCUUCCGAAAACAAACCUGACAUACACUGCAAAGCUUGUGUACUACUUUCCUAUUAGACGGUGAUGCUUUGAGUGAAAAGCACAUGCGAAAGGGAAUCUUGUGUCAUCUUGCGGCCAUUUUGUUGGACCUCUGUGUUAAAGUGACCGUUCGGCUUCACGUGGCAAAAGUGUAGACACUUUUUACGCUAUACGUCCUCCUUUCGCUUCGCUUUCACCUAUUUUCUUUCUUCUGUUUUUUUUUUUUUACCCCAGCUUGCCUUCUCAGAUGGUCGGGCCUGAUUUGUAUGCAUUUGCAUAAUGAAUGUCAUUUGCAUGCUCGGGGGCAGACCAUACCAUGGCUGUGUUGUGCAUGUGUGUGUGUGUGUGUGUGUGUGUUUGUGCGUGUGUGUGCGCUCAUGCAUAGUUAGUUAAUGUGCGCGCCAUAUAUUAAGCUCAUGCUAAUGUACACGUUUUUUU